AUAACUCUUCAAAAGUAAGUAAUUGCUUAAAUACUGAAGAAAAAAAUUAUUCUUUCAAAGCUGGUGACUUGCUAACUUCCCUCUCAUCCUGCUACCAGUCAAUAGACUACGUAAAAGAAAAUAAAAGAAACAACAGGACCGCACUUACUACAUAUACAUUAUACCUCUAGACAUGUACUAAAGAUGCAACCAAAUUGCAGCACAUUUUUCUGCUCUGGUUCAAGCUGCAUGUUUCCUACGUCCUACCUCAGCCAAAGAAACAACUUCAACUCAAUUCUAGGUAGCUGCAUUGCCUAUGUCUGAAACCCAACAUACGAUUGAUAUUCCCAGCUGCAUUGUCUAUGUCUAAAACCCAGCAUACAAUUGCCUUAUGUGCUAGAUUCUCAAGAGAAGUUUUAUUGUCGCUUCUGCAGAAAGUAGAAGCAUUAUUACAUAAAUAAUAAUGCUCUAGUAGUGCAGAACUGGAUUGCAUAAUAAGUUGUGGUACAUUGGGCAACAGAGAAGCUAUGCAUUGGGUAUUAAUUAUCUUCUGAAACUGUAGUACAUACCUCAGGUGAAGCAUGGUCAGACGGAGUUCCGGUGAAGGGUGGAGCACGAGCGGAUAGUGUUCCUGCUAAGUCGGCGGAACGACGAGAUUGGAUGGAUACCGCCUGUGACCCGGUCAUUCAGCAGUAUCUAGGGGCCACUUUAGGGACUUCGUCAUGCACAACUGCGUCUCCAUCGAUCCCUGCCCCAAUGAACACCUUGCCGGAUGCCAGAGUUCCACACCAAUGAACACCUUGCCAGAUGCAUGCCUAUACAGAGGGAGUACACGUGAAAGAACAUUAAUUCCAUGUAGUAAUACUGCUUAUGUGAACUAAUUAUGGUAAACAAAAUUUCAGCUAAAAUAAAGAAAGAUUGAAAACAGUUUAAAUAAGUUUUCGAAUAUUUUAGUUAUUCAUACAAACAUCUUCAUGAAAUAUGGCUGACAACCUCCAUAUCAACAAACAUGCAAUUACAGAUAGUUACAACUAAACUUGUCUGUCGUUGUCUUACUUCAAAGUAGGUGAGUACCUUGUCCAGCAGUGGCCUGAGCUUGGACAAUUCAUAUCAUUGCACAUAUAUUUUUCCUACAUGUAUUAUGACAAUUUGUUCAGAAAAGCAGGUUAACUAAGAAAAGAUGAAUAUAUAAAGAUUUAUAUAUUAGAUCUGACAUCAUAAAUCUCCAAACAAUUUUGUGCUCCCACUCUCUGCCAGCAUUACAGAAGAUGAGAAACUCUAGGCAAUUUCCAUGGAAAUUUACCACAUAUCAUGGAACUGGUAUAUUAUAUCAUACCAUGGUACACAAUAUUUCUUCUUUAUCCUUUUUGUAAUUCAAGCUUCAAAGAAAUAGCCAAUGAAAAGGUACUGAAAAUGUCAAAACAUUGGGCAAGAUUCGUGAGAAUGUCUGCUAGUAUAACAAUAAAAUAGACAGAUAAAUAACCAAGCAAUAAGUAGAUGGUAAGAAACUAAGCAUGGAUGUCAUUUUGAACCAAGCCUGAAGCUCUGUCUUAUGGAUUGAUAACAAUGGUGAGUGAACCAUGGAAAGCAACUCAAUUUCCUUCUUGUUUUCAGCUUGCUUGUACAUCUAUUUUUGUUCUCCCCUGUGGUCAUCGAGUAAAAUCAACAUGCCACAUAUAUCAAUAUUUUUGUUCAUGUUAUCUACGGAGUAAAUUCUGAGCAGAACGGGCUAGCAGCACUGUACUUACUAUAUACCAACAAUUUACUCGAAAGUAGCUGCUACCAAAAAUAUAUACUGGUAAGCGACUGCUAUACAUGUGAUUGCAGAGAUGUUCCUCCAACCUGUACUGAUCAGAGAUUCUGAAGCAGAGCCAGCAUAGCAGACGGUCGAAGCCUACAACAGCAAUGCGUGGGUGAGGUCGGGACCGUCGGGCUCGCCGUCGCUGCUGCUGCGCGAGUCUCCACCUCCAUCGCCGCUCUCGAGGAAGUCGUUGACGAGCAUGGCAGGUCCAUGUCGCUCUCGUGGCUGCCGUGGUGGCUCUGGCCCCUACCCUCCAUGCAUCCAAAGCCAGAGCUCGCCUCUCUGGCCGCUCU
rnacentral:lncRNA from 1 species